CCUACGGGGGGCAGCAGUCGAGAAUCAUUCACAAUGGGGGAAACCCUGAUGGUGCGACGCCGCGUGGGGGAAUGAAGGUCUUCGGAUUGUAAACCCCUGUCAUGUGGGAGCAAAUUAAAAAGAUAGUACCACAAGAGGAAGAGACGGCUAACUCUGUGCCAGCAGCCGCGGUAAUACAGAGGUAUCAAGCGUUGUUCGGAAUCACUGGGCGUAAAGCGUGCGUAGGCUGUUUCGUAAGUCGUGUGUGAAAGGCGAGGGCUCAACCCGCGGACGGCACAUGAUACUGCGAGACUAGAGUAAUGGAGGGGGAACCGGAAUUCUCGGUGUAGCAGUGAAAUGCGUAGAUAUCGAGAGGAACACUCGUGGCGAAGGCGGGUUCCUGGACAUUAACUGACGCUGAGGCACGAAGGCCAGGGGAGCGAAAGGGAUUAGAUACCCUUGUAGUC
rnacentral:rRNA from 1 species